rnacentral:rRNA from 1 species
UACGUAGGGUGCAAGCGUUAAUCGGAAUUACUGGGCGUAAAGCGUGCGCAGGCGGUGAUGUAAGACAGUUGUGAAAUCCCCGGGCUCAACCUGGGAAUGGCAUUCGGGACUGCAAGGCUGGAGUGCGGCAGAGGAGACUGGAAUUCCUGGUGUAGCAGUGAAAUGCGUAGAUAUCAGGAGGAAUACCGAUGGCGAAGGCAGGUCUCUGGGCUGACACUGACGCUCAUGCACGAAAGCGUGGGGAGCAAACAGG